AUGAACGCUGGCGGCGUGCCUAAUACCUGCAAGUCGAGCGAACAGACGAGGAGCUUGCUCCUCUGACGUUAGCGGCGGACGGGUGAGUAACACGUGGAUAACCUACCUAUAAGACUGGGAUAACUUCGGGAAACCGGAGCUAAUACCGGAUAAUAUAUUGAACCGCAUGGUUCAAUAGUGAAAGACGGUUUUGCUGUCACAUAUAGAUGGAUCCGCGCCGCAUUAGCUAGUUGGUAAGGUAACGGCUUACCAAGGCGACGAUGCGUAGCCGACCUGAGAGGGUGAUCGGCCACACUGGAACUGAGACACGGUCCAGACUCCUACGGGAGGCAGCAGUAGGGAAUCUUCCGCAAUGGGCGAAAGCCUGACGGAGCAACGCCGCGUGAGUGAUGAAGGUCUUCGGAUCGUAAAACUCUGUUAUUAGGGAAGAACAAAUGUGUAAGUAACUAUGCACGUCUUGACGGUACCUAAUCAGAAAGCCACGGCUAACUACGUG
rnacentral:rRNA from 1 species